rnacentral:rRNA from 1 species
UAACGAAUAUUGGGCAAUGGGCGAAAGCCUGACCCAGCCAUGCCGCGUGCAGGACGAAGUCCUUCGGGAUGUAAACUGCUGUCAGGGGUCCGCAAGCGAAGGGGUCCAACAGGCCCUGGAGUUGAGCCGCCCAAGAGGAAGACUCGACUAACUCUGUGCCAGCAGUCGCGGUAAGACAGAGGAGGCAAGCGUUGUUCGGAAUCACUGGGCUUAAAGAGCGUGUAGGCGGCUUAGAAAGUGUCGUGUGAAAUCCCGCGGCUCAACCGCGGAACUGCACGGCAAACUACCUGGCUUGCGGUCGGUAGAGGGGCCUGGAACGUUAGGUGGAGCGGUGAAAUGCGUAGAUAUCUAGAGGAACGCCAGAAGCGAAAGCGGGGCACUGGGCCGAUUCUGACGCUGAGACGCGAAAGCGUGGGGAGCAAACA